rnacentral:rRNA from 1 species
UACGAAGGGGGCUAGCGUUGUUCGGAUUUACUGGGCGUAAAGCGCACGUAGGCGGAUCGUUAAGUCAGGGGUGAAAUCCUGGGGCUCAACCCCAGAACUGCCUUUGAUACUGGCGAUCUCGAGUCCGGAAGAGGUGAGUGGAACUCCUAGUGUAGAGGUGGAAUUCGUAGAUAUUAGGAAGAACACCAGUGGCGAAGGCGGCUCACUGGUCCGGUACUGACGCUGAGGUGCGAAAGCGUGGGGAGCAACAGG